GUGAACGUUGGCGGCGUGGAUUAGGCAUGCAAGUCGAGCGAUCGUAGCAAUACGGGAGCGGCAAACGGGGUAGGAAUACAUCGGAACGUACCUUUUGGUUGAGAAUAGCGUUGGGAAACUGACGGUAAUACUCAAUAAAGUCGAGAGACCAAAGGUUUACUGCCGGAAGAGCGGCCGAUGCGAUAUUAGGUAGUUGGUGGGGUAAUGGCCUACCAAGCCUGAGAUGUCUAGGGGGUGUGAGAGCAUGGCCCCCACCACUGGGACUGAGAUACUGCCCAGACACCUACGGGUGGCUGCAGUCGAGGAUCUUCGUCAAUGGGCGAAAGCCUGAACGAGCGACGCCGCGUGCGGGAUGAAGGCCCUUGGGUUGUAAACCGCUGUCAGGGGGGAUGAAACCGUAAGGUUGACAGAGCCCCAGAGGAAGCACGGGCUAAGUUCGU
rnacentral:rRNA from 1 species